rnacentral:rRNA from 1 species
CCCUUAGAUGUUCUGGGCCGCACGCGUGCUACACUGAGUGGAUCAGCGGGUCAGGUUGCGCGAAAGUGUUUCCUAAUCUUGAAAUCCGCUCGUGAUGGGGAUUGACGGUUGCAAUUUUCCGUCAUGAACGAGGAAUACCUUGUAAGCGCGGGUCAUCAUCCCGCGCUGAAUAUGUCCCUGCCCUUUGUACACACCGCCCGUCGCUCCUACCGAUUGAGUGGUCCGGUGAGGCUUUGGGAUCUGAGCAAAAAGAGCGUUUCGCUCGUUUGGCUCGGAAAACUCAGUCGAACCUUAUCAUUUAGAGGAAGGAGAAGUCGUAACA